UUUACUGUGUUCCCUUUCAGACACAUGUAGUGCGAAUGAGUCAAAUAUAUAUGUAUAAAGGCACAAAGUGACGUGGCUGGACAAAAAAAAAGUAUCAAGAAAUAAUAAAGUUACUCUUUCCAGCCGUCAACGAUGAGAGGUAUUUUGCCGUAUAAAAACUUCUAUCCAAAAAGGUGUCGCAUGUUUGGCAUGCCGUUCGGCCCCUUAUCAUUAAAUCGGACUGCACUCAUUGAUAUGUGAGAAGUUUGCCUCUGUUCCUUAGCGGAAUUUUCAUGGGCAAAAUAUGCAAUUUUUGAAGGAACGCGUUGUGCUUUUGUUCUUGCAAUUACAACAACAUUAUUUUGAACAAGUGGAAGAUGCUGGCAAAAGCUUUUAGAAAGUUGUGGUUAUUAAACUUAUAACAUCGAAAAUACUAAAAAUCUAAAUAUUUGUACAAUAGUUUCAAAA
rnacentral:sRNA from 1 species